GCUCAGGAUGAACGCUAGCUACAGGCUUAACACAUGCAAGUCGAGGGGCAUCAGGAAGAAAGCUUGCUUUCUUUGCUGGCGACCGGCGCACGGGUGAGUAACACGUAUCCAACCUGCCCUUUACUCGGGGAUAGCCUUUCGAAAGAAAGAUUAAUACCCGAUAGCAUAAUGAUUCCGCAUGGUUUCAUUAUUAAAGGAUUCCGGUAAAGGAUGGGGAUGCGUUCCAUUAGGUUGUUGGUGAGGUAACGGCCCACCAAGCCUUCGAUGGAUAGGGGUUCUGAGAGGAAGGUCCCCCACAUUGGAACUGAGACACGGUCCAAACUCCUACGGGAGGCAGCAGUGAGGAAUAUUGGUCAAUGGGCGCUAGCCUGAACCAGCCAAGUAGCGUGAAGGAUGAAGGCUCUAUGGGUCGUAAACUUCUUUUAUAUAAGAAUAAAGUGCAGUAUGUAUACUGUUUUGUAUGUAUUAUAUGAAUAAGGAUCGGCUAACUCCGUGCCAGCAGCCGCGGUAAUACGGAGGAUCCGAGCGUUAUCCGGAUUUAUUGGGUUUAAAGGGAGCGUAGGUGGACUGGUAAGUCAGUUGUGAAAGUUUGCGGCUCAACCGUAAAAUUGCAGUUGAUACUGUCAGUCUUGAGUACAGUAGAGGUGGGCGGAAUUCGUGGUGUAGCGGUGAAAUGCUUAGAUAUCACGAAGAACUCCGAUUGCGAAGGCAGCUCACUGGACUGCAACUGACACUGAUGCUCGAAAGUGUGGGUAUCAAACAGGAUUAGAUACCCUGGUAGUCCACACAGUAAACGAUGAAUACUCGCUGUUUGCGAUAUACAGUAAGCGGCCAAGCGAAAGCAUUAAGUAUUCCACCUGGGGAGUACGCCGGCAACGGUGAAACUCAAAGGAAUUGACGGGGGCCCGCACAAGCGGAGGAACAUGUGGUUUAAUUCGAUGAUACGCGAGGAACCUUACCCGGGCUUAAAUUGCAGUGGAAUGAUGUGGAAACAUGUCAGUGAGCAAUCACCGCUGUGAAGGUGCUGCAUGGUUGUCGUCAGCUCGUGCCGUGAGGUGUCGGCUUAAGUGCCAUAACGAGCGCAACCCUUAUCUUUAGUUACUAACAGGUUAUGCUGAGGACUCUGGAGAGACUGCCGUCGUAAGAUGUGAGGAAGGUGGGGAUGACGUCAAAUCAGCACGGCCCUUACGUCCGGGGCUACACACGUGUUACAAGGGGGGGUACAGAAGGCAGCUACCUGGUGACAGGAUGCUAAUCCCAAAAGCCUCUCUCAGUUCGGAUCGAAGUCUGCAACCCGACUUCGUGAAGCUGGAUUCGCUAGUAAUCGCGCAUCAGCCACGGCGCGGUGAAUACGUUCCCGGGCCUUGUACACACCGCCCGUCAAGCCAUGGGAGCCGGGGGUACCUGAAGUACGUAACCGCAAGGAUCGUCCUAGGGUAAAACU
rnacentral:rRNA from 1 species